rnacentral:lncRNA from 1 species
GUCAACACUAGGAUAGCAGUGAGGGCCUGGGAGAGAAAACCUUCUCUGGUCAGGAGACUACGGUCUCAGGCCUGGCUGGAGACCUACCCCUCAGGUUGGACUGGACAAUCACCUAGUCAAGAGACCACCUCUAGGAAGGGGCACGCAAGGAGGUGUCCUUAAUUCAGGCUAAUGAAGUAGGCGGAAUAAUUAAUCCUUUCGUGAGUUACAGCACCUUUACUCUCUGAAUCCCUGACCUUAGCCCGGAGAUGAUUGAACUGCAUCUAUGUAGAUCCAGAUAUAUUGACUUGAGUUUUGUGAAGUAUUCAGGAAAGUGUCUCUGAUCCCACUACCUUCCUGAGUUUACUGAUUGUGGAACAAGCAAACAAACAGAUAGCAAGCAAGAACUACAAGCGGCAGACACAGGACGGGAACCGGCUCAGGAAGAGGUGGUUAUAUCAGCAGAGUUCCGACUGUGUCUCUCCAUUGAAGGCCUUGGCUUUUGCCUUCCCUGUUCUCUCUACAAGCAUCUCAGACC